rnacentral:rRNA from 1 species
GCUUGCUCUCGGGUGACGAGUGGCGGACGGGUGAGUAAUGUCUGGGAAACUGCCCGAUGGAGGGGGAUAACUACUGGAAACGGUAGCUAAUACCGCAUAACGUCUUCGGACCAAAGUGGGGGACCUUCGGGCCUCACACCAUCGGAUGUGCCCAGAUGGGAUUAGCUAGUAGGUGGGGUAAUGGCUCACCUAGGCGACGAUCCCUAGCUGGUCUGAGAGGAUGACCAGCCACACUGGAACUGAGACACGGUCCAGACUCCUACGGGAGGCAGCAGUGGGGAAUAUUGCACAAUGGGCGCAAGCCUGAUGCAGCCAUGCCGCGUGUAUGAAGAAGGCCUUCGGGUUGUAAAGUACUUUCAGCGGGGAGGAAGGCAUUGUGGUUAAUAACCGCGUUGAUUGACGUUACCCGCAGAAAAAGCACCGGCUAACUCCGUGCCAGCAGCCGCGGUAAUACGGAGGGUGCAAGCGUUAAUCGGAAUUACUGGGCGUAAAGCGCACGCAGGCG